rnacentral:rRNA from 1 species
ACGAACGCUGGCGGCGUGCUUAACACAUGCAAGUCGAACGGAAAGGCCCUGCUUUUGUGGGGUGCUCGAGUGGCGAACGGGUGAUUAACACGUGAGUAACCUGCCCUUGACUUUGGGAUAACUUCAGGAAACUGGGGCUAAUACCGGAUAGGAGUUCCUGCUGCAUGGUGGGGGAUGGAAAGUUUCGGCGGUUGGGGAUGGACUCGCGGCUUAUCAGCUUGUUGGUGGGGUAGUGGCUUACCAAGGCUUUGCCGGGUAGCCGGCCUGAGAGGGUGACCGGCCACAUUGGGACUGAGGGAAGGCACAGACGCCUACGGGAGGAAGCAGUGGGGAAUAUUGCACAAGGGGCGGAAGCCUGAUGCAGCAACGCCGCGUGCGGGAUGACGGCCUUCGGGUUGUAAACCGCUUUCGCCUGUGACGAAGCGUGAGUGACGGUAAUGGGUAAAGAAGCACCGGCUAACUACGUG